GAAGCGCUGGAACCAUUGAUAUCCUGUAAUUCGUUUCCACUUUGGGGUAGUGGGGGUCGUGGGUUCAAAUCCCGCCGCUCCG
rnacentral:tRNA from 1 species